rnacentral:misc_RNA from 1 species
AAGUCGUAACAAGGUUUCCGUAGGUGAACCUGCGGAAGGAUCAUUAGCGAGUGGUUUUCGUCGCGAGACGAGCUGCCCCGACCUGUUGUCAUUCGGACUGGGGGGGUGUUGGAGGGAGGUUUUGGGUUUGUGGUUUUUGGGGUGACCCGGAAGGGGCGCUCCUGGCCCGGCCCGGGCCGCCAGCCGCCCCGGCAUCAUAUACUUCGGCGGAAGAGGUAGGCGUGGACCUGCCCGCCGCCGGCCGCAACGACGACACAUCUUUUUGAGAACCUGAAGUCUGAGGCGAAGAUGAAAACAGAAGCAAAACUUUCAACAACGGAUCUCUUGGCUCUG